GGGUCACACAGUACAAAAAAUUUUCUUAUCAAAAUCAAACUUUCAAGUUACAAAAUUUUAACAUCUUCCUUCGGAAGUUUCAAUGCAUAUUUCUGGUGCAUAUUUUUAACGUAUAUAUUUAGUUUUAAAGUAUUAUGUCCUUCGUUACCAUCUGCUAAAAGUGAUCGAUCGCAGAGCUUAAAUUUCAUCAUGUUCGGCCGUCUUUUCUCCUUCGGUAUCGGUGUCUAUGUUGGUGUGUAUAUAGCUCAGAAUUAUGAGAUUCAGAAACUCGACGAUCCUCAGAAAAUAUUCGAAAAAAUCAAGACAUUGGUAGAAGAUACGAUGACAAGCGAUGGAAAGAAGAAAUGAUUCUGGAGAAGUGUCUUACGACAUUGUUUUGUAUUUUUUAGAGCUAUUCGUUUCAUCGCUUCAGAUCUGUUUGUUGAUUUUUACCUUGCUAAUGCAACGCUCGUAUUAGUUUGCUUUUUAGUCAUUAUGAAAUUUUAUCGUGCGUUGUUCGUGUUCGGUGUAACUCUCUGUUGUAUGUGAUUACGUCUAUGACGUUUUACCGGUAAGAUGAUGUAAAUUAUGCAUAAGAUUCCGUGUAAAAUAAUUAUAAUUACAUUUUCAAGUUACGCUAUACCUUACGAAUAAAAAUAAACAAACGAAUAAUAGAAAAAUUAUUAACGCGAAA